rnacentral:lncRNA from 1 species
GGCUGAGUGGACUGGCGGGACGAGAAAAGGGGCGGGGCGUGCCCAAUCCGGGCUGAAGAGCGUUACCAUGGCAAACGUGCCGCGGAGGCCCUGAGAGGCCACCCGCCCUAUGUUGGUCUGCGAGAAAUCAAACUUCGAACAGGACAAGCCCGAAGCCCGCUUCUCCGGGAGACGGGGUGCCACAAUUACGAGGCUACUCCAAAACUUCUAUAAUGAUGGUAGAGUUCAGUGAAGUGGAGCUUCAGGCCUGCCAUCCCCAUGCUCCUGGCAAGCAGCAGCAUCUCCCCUGAGCAUGGUGGCAUAGGGCAUGCCAUUAAAACCACCUUGCUGCUGUUCAUCUCCACAUACUGAGUUGCUGUACACUUUGCAGUGGAAUUCCACCUUGCUGCGUCUGGUUGGCCAGAAGCCCUGCAGGAAAAUAACAGGCUUUAAAAACUUUAAUGAAGAUAACUAAAAUCACCAAGAAGUUACAAGAAUUCACAGAAUGCCUAAUAUAGUUGAAAGGAAAUUAUGAAAACUUCUCAAGACCAGAAGUAAAUAAAGGUAAUGAUCCAGAGAAGCAUUAACCUAAAAGGCCAGUGGCUCCAUUCAGAUGCAUCUGAUCACAAGGAUGUUGGAUCCAUGUGGGUUGUUGAGCUUCUGACAAGGAAAAUGGAAUAAACAAAGAGAAACUGCCUGCAGGCAUCCAGAGUGUAAUGUCUCCCAUAUGUGAGAACUGAACUAUAAAUUAUGUUGCACACAAGGAGAUGAGCAACUAGUGUGAAGCAUUAGAUAAAUUUUAUGGCACAUAAAACCCAGAUAUGAAGAUUAUAUUUAAAUGUUUGCCAAUAUAAUGAAAAACAAGAAACCAAAAUAAUGUGGAAAAUAUCUAUGAGCUUCUCAAGUCGUAUUUGGAAAAGAG